rnacentral:rRNA from 1 species
AGUGGGGAAUAUUGGACAAUGGGCGCAAGCCUGAUCCAGCAAUGCCGCGUGAGUGAUGAAGGCCUUAGGGUUGUAAAGCUCUUUUACCCGGGAUGAUAAUGACAGUACCGGGAGAAUAAGCCCCGGCUAACUCCGUGCCAGCAGCCGCGGUAAUACGGAGGGGGCUAGCGUUGUUCGGAAUUACUGGGCGUAAAGCGCACGUAGGCGGCUUUGUAAGUUAGAGGUGAAAGCCUGGAGCUCAACUCCAGAACUGCCUUUAAGACUGCAUCGCUUGAAUCCAGGAGAGGUGAGUGGAAUUCCGAGUGUAGAGGUGAAAUUCGUAGAUAUUCGGAAGAACACCAGUGGCGAAGGCGGCUCACUGGACUGGUAUUGACGCUGAGGUGCGAAAGCGUGGGGAGCAAA